CCCUGGUUGAUCCUGCCAGUAGUCAUAUGCUUGUCUCAAAGAUUAAGCCAUGCAUGUCUCAGUGCAAGCCAUAUUAAGGUGAAACCGCGAAAGGCUCAUUAAAUCAGUUAUGGUUCCUUGGAUGGUACACAGUUACUUGGAUAACUGUGGUAAUUCUAGAGCUAAUACAUGCAAACAGAGUCCCGACCAUUCAUUUGGCAGGGAUGCUUUUAUUAGAUCAAAACCAAUCAGACCUUUUAGGUCUGUUGCUCUUGGUGACUCUGAAUAACUUUGGGCUGAUCGCAUGGUCUCGUACCGGCGACGCAUCUUUCAAAUGUCUGACUUAUCAACUUUCGAUGGUAGGCUCUGCGCCUAUUACGGUUGUAACGGGUAACGGGGAAUCAGGGUUCGAUUCCGGAGAGGGAGCCUGAGAAACGGCUACCACAUCCAAGGAAGGCAGCAGGCGCGCAAAUUACCCACUCCCAGAACGGGGAGGUAGUGACGAAAAAUAACGAUGCAGAACUCAUUCCGAGGCUCUGCAAUCGGAAUGAGUACACUCUAAAUCAUUUAACGAGUAUCCAUUGGAGGACAAGUCUGGUGCCAGCACCCGCGGUAAUUCCAGCUCCAAUAGCGUAUAUUAAAGUUGUUGCGGUUAAAAAGCUCGUAGUUGGAUCUGUGUUUCACGCUGUCGGUUCACCGUUUUGUCGGUGUUUAACUGACAUGUCGUGGUACGUCCUGCCGGUUGGCGACGUGGCGUCUCCUUUAACCGGGUUGCGUUCGCGUUUGCCAGUUCCAAUCCUGUCGCGGUGCUCUUAACCGAGUGUCGAGGCGGGCCGGCACGUUUACCUUGAACAAAUUUGAGUGCUUAAAGCAGGCUCUAUCGCCGGAAAACUGUGUGCAUGGAAUAAUAUAAUAGGACCGCGGUUCUAUUUUGUUGGUUUUCAGAGUCCGAGGUAAUGAUUAAUAGGGACCGGCGGGGGCAUUAGUAUUGCGACGUUAGAGGUGAAAUUCUUGGAUCGUCGCAAGACUAACCUAAGCGAAAGCAUUUGCCAAGGAUGCUUCCAUUAAUCAAGAACGAAAGUUAGAGGUUCGAAGGCGAUCAGAUACCGCCCUAGUUCUAACCAUAAACGAUGCCAGCCAGCGAUCCGGCGAAGUUCCUUCGAUGACUCGCCGGGCAGCUUCCGGGAAACUAAAGCAUUUGGGUUCCGGGGGAAGUAUGGUUGCAAAGCUGAAACUUAAAGGAAUUGACGGAAAGGCACCACCAGGAGUGGAGCCUGCGGCUUAAUUUGACUCAACACGGGAAAUCUCACCAGGCCAGAACACCAGGUGGAUUGACAGAUUGAGAGCUCUUUCUUGAUUUGGUGGGUGGUGGUGCAUGGCCGUUCUUAGUUGGUGGAGCGAUUUGUCUGGUUAAUUCCGAUAACGAACGAGACUCCAGCCUACUAACUAGACGAAAUUUUGACUAGUAUCAUUGCUACUAGCGGUCUAAAUUCUUCUUAGAGGGACAGGCGGCUUCUAGCCGCACGAGACGGAGCAAUAACAGGUCUGUAAUGCCCUUAGAUGUUCUGGGCCGCACGCGCGCUACACUGAAGGAAUCAACGUGUAAUUUUCCCUAGGCCGAAAGGUCCGGGUAACCCGUUGAACCUCCUUCGUGCUAGGGAUUGGGGCUUGCAAUUCUUCCCCAUGAACGAGGAAUUCCUAGUAAGUGCGAGUCAUAAGCUCGUGUUGAUUAAGUCCCUGCCUUUUGUGCACACCGCCCGUCGCUACUACCGAUUGAACGAUUUAGUGAGGUCUUCAGACCUGAUCGCGAGAGUCGCCUCACGGCGAAUUUCGAUGUUUUUGGGGAAGACGACCAAACUUGAUCGUUUAGAGGAAGUAAAAGUCGUAACAAGGUUUUCGUUGGU
rnacentral:rRNA from 1 species